AGCGAACGCUGGCGGCGGGCCUAACACAUGCAAGUCGAACGAACCUUUCGGGGUUAGUGGCGGACGGGUGAGUAACACGUGGGAACGUGCCUUUAGGUUCGGAAUAACUCAGGGAAACUUGUGCUAAUACCGAAUGUGCCCUUCGGGGGAAAGAUUAAUCGCCUUUAGAGCGGCCCGCGUCUGAUUAGCUAGUUGGUUGAGGUAAUGGCUCACCAAGGCGACGAUCAGUAGCUGGUCUGAGAGGAUGAUCAGCCACAUUGGGACUGAGACACGGCCCAAACUCCUACGGGAGGCAGCAGUGGGGAAUCUUGCGCAAUGGGCGAAAGCCUGACGCAGCCAUGCCGCGUGAAUGAUGAAGGUCUUAGGAUUGUAAAAUUCUUUCACCGGGGACGAUAAUGACGGUACCCGGAGAAGAAGCCCCGGCUAACUUCGUG
rnacentral:rRNA from 1 species